UACGGGGGGGGCAAGCGUUGUUCGGAAUUACUGGGCGUAAAGGGUUUGUAGGUGGCCAACUAAGUCAGACGUGAAAUCCCUCAGCUUAACUGGGGAACUGCGUCUGAUACUGGUUGGCUUGAGUGCAGGAGAGGAAUGCGGAAUUCCAGGUGUAGCGGUGAAAUGCGUAGAUAUCUGGAGGAACACCGGUGGCGAAGGCGACAUCCUGGACCGGUAUUGACGCUGAGGCGCGAAAGCCAGGGGAGCAAACGGG
rnacentral:rRNA from 1 species